CCUACGGGAGGCAGCAGUGAGGAAUAUUGGUCAAUGGGCGUAAGCCUGAACCAGCCAAGCCGCGUGAGGGAAGAAGGUACAGCGUAUCGUAAACCUCUUUUGUCAGGGAACAAAGGCUGGGACUAGUCCCCGUAUGAAGGUACCUUAAGAAAAAGCAUCGGCUAACUCCGUGCCAGCAGCCGCGGUAAUACGGGGGAUGCGAUCGUUAUCCGGAUUUAUUGGGUUUAAAGGGUGCGCAGGCGUCCUGUUAAGUCAGCGGUAAAAGCCCGUGGCUAAACCACGGCGAGCCGUUGAAACUGGCGGGCUGGAGUGGGAGAGAGGCACGCGGAAUGCGUGGUGUAGCGGUGAAAUGCUUAGAUAUCGCGCAGAACCCCGAUUGCGAAGGCAGCGUACCGGCCCAACACUGACGCUGAGGCACGAAAGCGUGGGUAUCGAACAGGAUUAGAUACCCUUGUAGUC
rnacentral:rRNA from 1 species